rnacentral:lncRNA from 1 species
UCCGGUUUUAUUCGUUCUGGCUCAAAUCUUGCGCGUUUCGCCCCUAAUUGCUCCCGAAUCAUUCCUACACAUAAAAACACUUCAAAUUAACAUAAAUCAUAGCAGUUAACACCCCAAAUUCACGAAACAAAAGUAAAAUAUAAGGCGAUAUACGUUGAAAUAUAUAUGCUUUAAGCUAAACAUCACCUAUUAUAACAAAUCAAGCCAUACUAAUAAUCUAUUUAAAGAAUGCCUGUGUGUAUAAUUUAGAUCCCUUCUCAUGAGUAACCAAUAGCUUUAGAGCGCUAAAUCUUAGGCUUAAUGUUAUUUGCCAGAACUUAUAAUCAAUUAAUUAACUUUAACUCUGAGGCGUUGUUUCUUGUGGGCGGGCAAUAUUGGGGAGGCUAGGGAAAUAUGGUGAAAAAUAUUGGGACCCACAUCUGCAAAAUAUUGUCUCGUUUUAAUUUUUUUUGUUAAACUCAUCUUUAUAUUCUAUUUAUAAAAUAUUAAUUUAUAUAUAUAUAUAUAUAUAUAUAUAUAUAUAUUAAAAUUUUAAUUUAAAUAUUUUUAUUUUUUACUCUUAAUGACACUCCUUGUAGAUAUGACAUGAUAAAUUAAGAUUAUAAAAUAAUGGAAUAUUUUAAUAUAUUAUACACACCUUUAGUUUAAGACGCAAGAUUAACAAGUUUUCUUUAUAUUCUUAAAUACCGUCAAACUCAUAUUUGAUUUCCCACUUUGGCCAAACUUUUAUUAUAAAUAGAGCCUCUCUCGAAUGUGAACAACAGAGAGCUCUCUGGUUUGAGAAAAUGGCUAACUCACCUCUUCAAUCCCCAAUAGCCAAAAAGUUAUUUCCUUUUUCUAUUUUCCUUAUAUCUUCAUAAUACUUUUCCUGCGCACUUAGAUAAUGAUCGUACUAAUCCUUAUUUUAACUUCUUUUUACAGGUUACAAGGUAAGGUAGCAUUUAUAACCGGUGGUGCUAGCGGCAUAGGAGCAGCUACAGCUAGGCUAUUUGUUCAACAUGGUGCAAAGGUUAUAAUUGCAGACAUUCAAGACAGCCUCGCAACUAGCGUUGUACAAGAGAUUGGCACAGAAAAUGCAACCUUUAUCCAUUGUGAUGUCGCGAUUGAAUCGGACGUCCAAAAUGCGGUGGAUGCAACAGUUGCCAAAUUUGGUAAGCUUGACAUAAUGUACAGUAACGCUGGUGUAUUGGGCAAGCCAAUAUCCAGCAUCUUAGAAGUCGAUUAUGAC